GUCUGGGUGGGAAGCGUUUUGCUAAUUUUGUCCACAUCAGAACUGACUUCCUGCUGGAACCAGGAGUCGCUACAGAACAACGUGGGUGCUUUAGCACCCGUGGCACCCCUGACUGAGAGAARGUCCUGCACAAAAUUUAUUUAUCAGGAUUUAUUCCUGUUCUGAUGAAGUUUGAAGCUGUGAGRAAAAAGCUGAAGAGCUGGUUUGUUGCGUAACGUUGAGGAGAGGCCCUCAGACAGCUGUGAGUGGGUUCUGAUGAGACGGAUCCACGAAGGCUGGCAGUGAACAGAAAGCAGAGCGGAGAGACUUCCUGCGGGGGGGCGGGCCUCGGUGCUGCUCUCUCCGACACCAGAUGUAGGUCGCAGAGCGCCGCGGGGCCGUGCGCUCGUGUGUCAUUGUGUGCACGCUGAUGAUGGUGCCGGAUGAGUUCAUCACUAAGGACAUGGCCCACAGCGCACCACUCUGCACCGCUGUCACAUCACAUCGGGACAAACAGACCACAUGAAGCCCGACAGCCUGGCAGACCAGACUCAGGGUAAAACCCCUCGCUGCUCUGUUGUUCCUUCUGAAACAGGCUGAAGGAGCAGAGGCUUUGAAAUAAAUGCAUUAAAAAGCAGCAGGGUUAGGCCGAGGUGAAUAAAUAAAGUCAGUUCUUUAUA